rnacentral:lncRNA from 1 species
AUUUUAUAUAUCACUUUAUUUUUUUGGUUAUUUCUUAAUAGAUGUUGCAGGUAUUUCGUGCCAUAUCUAACAUAUUACAGAUUAGAGAUGUGUUAUAAUUCAUCCGGAUUUAGUACAUUAUCUAACAAUCUACUAUGAGAACAUCUUAGUUCUUUUCCUUCUGAGUUGUAUCCUUCGGUUAAUACAAAGAUUUUCUUCUCUGGUUAUCUGUUCUGCUGGGCCAAUAUUUCUGGGGCAGGAUGAAGAGACAAGCGAUCCUCCUUCUUGAAGCCAGAGCUGGGUAAAACUGGUACAGGAGUGGGGCUGAGGGCUGUCCCAGCUGUACUGUCCACUACAGAAGCCAUGAGCCAUAUGUGACUGAGCGCUUGAAAUGUGGCUGGUCCAAAUUGAGAUGUGCUGUAAGGAUUACAUACACUCCUGAUUCCAAAGAUUUAGUAUGAAAAAAGAAUGCAAACUACCUCGUGAAUAUUGUUUAAUGUUGUAUGUUGAAAUGAUAAUAUUUUGGAUAUAUUGGGUUAAAUGAAAUGUAUUAGUAAAAUUAACUGCCUACUUUGGGACUGUUCCACUUCUAGUUCCACUUGUAAAGCCCCUUUCUCUCUUUAUCCAGGGCUCUGCUACAGUCACCCCUCCUCACAGAAGCUCUGCUGAGCAACUCCAUAACCCACAGCCCCAUCCCCUUACUUUGCCUUUAUUCUGAAUAAUCAAUGAAAGUAACAAGAAAGUGAUUCUCAUACAUCCUAGGAAGGUUUCAGCCCCUUUCCUAGGUAGGGAGGAUGGAAUCUAGAGCACCAGAAUGGCUACUCCUUGCUUUCUCUUCUUCCAUAACAGAAACAAGGUCCAGUACUUCAAAAGAAGUUGCCCCUUUCAGCUUCAGAUUCAGUCCAACAAGUUUUCGGAAGUGCUGCUUCCCAUCCCAAGUGCCCAAGCCUGAUCAUGAUCCAGAUACACUCUUUUGGAAGUUUUGCCUUCACAGAGCUUUUCCUGUGCACUGGAAAGUGUGAAGAAGAUAGGGAUCUUCGGCAGGGAUAGAACAUAUAUAGUAGGAUAGUCUAUUCCCUAGGUUCCUUUGACACUUGCCCAAAACUGCAACCCACAGAGGGCAAAGCAUCGCAGAACUGGGAUGCGGGAAGGUGUUUUACACCUUUUCUGGGCCUAGCAAGAAGUUGGGCACAUGGAUGGCACUCAGUGCUUUUAAAAAAUACGUUAAUUUGGAAAUAAUUCUUUCAAAAGUUAGGUUACAGGAGGAGGAGGCCUCUCUCCAGUCAUCGUAUCCUCCCUAGCCCUAUCUGAUACUGCACAUACCGCAAGUAGUCUGCUUUGGUUUACUGAAAUGGAACUGCCAACAUCCAUGAAAGAACCACAGAGGCAGUUCCUCCUUACUAGCUGUGUGACCUUGGACAGGGGACUUCAGGUGCCUGGGAAAACUCAGGAAAGGAAGCUAUCCUAACGUUUCAUAUGAAAAUAAGGUUUAGGAGCGCCUGGGCGGCUCAGUCGUUAAGCCUCUGCUUUCUGCUCAGGUCAUGAUCCCAGGGUCCUGGGAUGGAGCCCCGCAUCCGGCUCCCUGUUCAGCGGGAAGGCUGCUCCUCCCCUGCUUGUGCGCUAUCGCCCCAGCGCUGUCUGUGUCAAAUAAAAUAAGAAAGAAAGAAGAAAGGAAGAAGAAAGGAAGAAAGGAAGAAAGGAAGAAAGAAAAGAAAGAAAGAAAAGAAAAGAGGAAAGGAAAGGAAAGGAAAGGAAAGGAAAGGAAAGGAAAGGAAAGGAGGUUAAAAUAGGAGUUUUUAGGUUUUGCCCUGCUCAAGACAGUUCCUCUGAGGAGGGACCCUGAAUACGAGUUCUGACUCCUACACCCGCCCCCCCCCGCCCCCCAGGCCAAGGAUUCUAAACGUUCUGCAAGAGUUUUGAAGUCCUUCCCCGACCCCCAAGGAACCCUUCUCCGCACGGUUGGAGAGCGUGGGCAUUCCGUAGCCGCAGGCCACACCCCGGGAGCUGUCGGAGCCAGCGUGGAAGCUGAUUACUCAGUUUCAGGCUAGUCGGUGGGGACUUAACCCGCAAGUGCACAAAGCGGCUCACCGAAGGAGGAACGCCGCACCUGGGUAGGUCGCGGCGCAGCCAAUCCCGGGCGCCUCGGUCUACUUUCGUCACGAGUUGCUAGGCGGGUUCUCCUUGGGCGAAACUUGCAGCCCGGGGUCCUCCCGCAGCUCCUCGCCCCAGGCGCCGGCCUACCCUGGGGGCUGGACAGGGCAGCAAAAACGUAGCGAGGAGCGGGGGCGCCGACGGAGCCUGGUGCUGACACUGCCCUCCGGAUCCGCCUCGGCCUGGCCAGGUCCGCGUCGCCCGGCCGCCGGCCCCGAAGGUCACCGGGAGAGGCGGGCAAGGCCGGGCGGCCGCGGGCGCAGCAGACCAAUGGCGCGUGCCGCACACCCGCCGUCACUCGUUGCCGGGGCCGCGCUCCCGACAGCGGCAGACGCCAGCCGCCCGUAGCGAGGGGACACGACGACAGUUGGGGGUCGCCGCCCCGCGCCAACCCUGCCCCCCCAGCCCCUUGGUCCCCUCACCGGUCGCCGACUGGCUCCUUGGACACCGCGCAGCCCCCACUCAGCCGGCUCGCCGCCCCCGCCUCCCGGAUCGCGGGACUGGGGCGUCGGAGGAAGGCGCAGGCGGAGCGCGCGGCCGCCGAGUGGGGCAGCUGGGAGGCGCCUCGAGAUAGGGAGUCCCGCGUCCCCGGCUGACCAGUCGUCGGCCUCCUGCGGGCGGCGUCACCGGUUGCAGGGACGUGUAUCUAGAAGGCCUCAGAGCCCCCAGCCCCGGGCGGAAUCCCAGCGAGG